rnacentral:rRNA from 1 species
UACGGGAGGCAGCAGUAAGGAAUAUUGGUCAAUGGGCGAAAGCCUGAACCAGCCAUGCCGCGUGCAGGAAGACGGCCCUACGGGUUGUAAACUGCUUUUGUACGGGAAUAAACCCCUGUACGUGUACGGGGCUGAAUGUACGGUAAGAAUAAGGAUCGGCUAACUCCGUGCCAGCAGCCGCGGUAAUACGGAGGAUCCAAGCGUUAUCCGGAUUUAUUGGGUUUAAAGGGUGCGUAGGCGGCCUGUUAAGUCAGGGGUGAAAGACGGUAGCUUAACUAUCGCAGUGCCUUUGAUACUGAUGGGCUUGAAUGUACUUGAGGUAGGCGGAAUGUGACAAGUAGCGGUGAAAUGCAUAGAUAUGUCACAGAACACCAAUUGCGAAGGCAGCUUACUAUGGUAUGAUUGACGCUGAGGCACGAAAGCGUGGGGAUCAAACAGGAUUAGAUACCCUGGUAGUCCACGCCCUAAACGAUGAACACUCGAUGUUGGCGAUAUACGGUCAGCGUCAAAGCGAAAGCGUUAAGUGUUCCACCUGGGGAGUACGCC